GCAUGGUUGGUUUAGUGGCAUAAUUACCGCCUGCCAGAUAGUGAGCGCGCGGUAGACCCGGGUUCGAUUCCCGGACCAUGCA
rnacentral:tRNA from 1 species